AUUGAACGCUGGCGGCAUGCCUUACACAUGCAAGUCGAACGGCAGCACGGGUGCUUGCACCUGGUGGCGAGUGGCGAACGGGUGAGUAAUACAUCGGAACAUGUCCUGUAGUGGGGGAUAGCCCGGCGAAAGCCGGAUUAAUACCGCAUACGAUCUACGGAUGAAAGCGGGGGACCUUCGGGCCUCGCGCUUUAGGGUUGGCCGAUGGCUGAUUAGCUAGUUGGUGGGGUAAAGGCCUACCAAGGCGACGAUCAGUAGCUGGUCUGAGAGGACGACCAGCCACACUGGGACUGAGACACGGCCCAGACUCCUACGGGAGGCAGCAGUGGGGAAUGUUGGACAAUGGGCGAAAGCCUGAUCCAGCAAUGCCGCGUGUGUGAAGAAGGCCUUCGGGUUGUAAAGCACUUUUGUCAGGAAAGAAAUCCUUGGCCCUAAUACGGUCGGGGGAUGACGGUACCGGAAGAAUAAGCACCGGCUAACUACGUG
rnacentral:rRNA from 1 species